rnacentral:rRNA from 1 species
CCCUUAGAUGUCCGGGGCCGCACGCGCGCUACACUGAAGGAAUCAGCGUGGCUUUCUCCCUGACCCGAAAGGGUUGGGAAACCCGUUGAAUCUCCUUCGUGAUAGGGUUUGGGGCUUGAAAUUGUUCCCCAUGAACGAGGAAUUCCCAGUAAGCGCGAGUCAUAAGCUCGCGUUGAUUACGUCCCUGCCCUUUGUACACACCGCCCGUCGCUACUACCGAUUGAACGGUUUAGUGAGGGCCUCGGAUUGGUCUCGGCCCGCUCUUUACCGGGCGGCGCCGUUGGUCGAGAAGACGCUCGAACUUGAUCGUUUAGAGGAAGUAAAAGUCGUAACA